rnacentral:rRNA from 1 species
AUUGAACGCUGGCGGCAUGCCUUACACAUGCAAGUCGAACGGUAACAGGUCUUCGGAUGCUGACGAGUGGCGAACGGGUGAGUAAUACAUCGGAAUGUGCCCGAGAGUGGGGGAUAACGAGGCGAAAGCUUUGCUAAUACCGCAUACGAUCUCAGGAUGAAAGCAGGGGACCGCAAGGCCUUGCGCUCACGGAGCGGCCGAUGGCAGAUUAGGUAGUUGGUGGGAUAAAAGCUUACCAAGCCGACGAUCUGUAGCUGGUCUGAGAGGACGACCAGCCACACUGGGACUGAGACACGGCCCAGACUCCUACGGGAGGCAGCAGUGGGGAAUUUUGGACAAUGGACGCAAGCCUGAUCCAGCCAUGCCGCGUGCAGGAUGAAGGCCUUCGGGUUGUAAACUGCUUUUGUACGGAACGAAAAGACUCUGGUUAAUACCUGGGGUCCAUGACGGUACCGUAAGAAUAAGCACCGGUUAACUACGUGCCAGCCGCCGCCGUAACAC